AUGAAUAUCUUGGCCUGGAACUGUCGAGGACUGGGGUUGGACUCGACAGUUGGCGAACUGAGGGACCUGAUACGGUCAUACAACCCAGCGGUGUUUUUUUUGAGUGAAACAAAAAAGAGGGCGGGCGCAAUGCAGUGAAUAAUGUGGAGGCUAGGGUUUCGGAAUGGAGUGGCGGUGGAUUGUGUGGGCCUUAGUGGCGGACUUGCGCUAUGGUGGAGAGAUCAUUUACAGGUUACAGUUAGACCGUGGUGUCAGUACUUCAUCGAUGCAGAGAUACAGCUGGAGGGCAAGACCUGUAGAUUCACUGGUUUCUACGGGAACCUAGGAAGGAGCUGA
rnacentral:rRNA from 1 species